UACGUAGGGGGCAAGCGUUGUCCGGAAUCAUUGGGCGUAAAGCGCGUGUAGGCGGCCCGAUAAGUCCGCUGUGAAAGUCCAGGGCUCAACCCUGGGAUGCCGGUGGAUACUGUCGGGCUCGAGUCCGGAAGAGGAGUGUGGAAUUCCUGGUGUAGCGGUGAAAUGCGCAGAUAUCAGGAGGAACACCGGUGGCGAAGGCGGAUCUCUGGGCCAUUACUGACGCUGAGGAGCGAAAGCGUGGGGAGCGAACAGG
rnacentral:rRNA from 1 species